rnacentral:lncRNA from 10 species
GAGGCCUUUUAGCUUUUGCUUUCCACUCUCUUGGAAUGCUGCCCCGAGGCCACCAUGAAAGGAAGCCUGUGUAGCCUACUGGAAGGUGAGAACCUAAAUGGAGGAGGACCAAGGUGCCUUGUUCACAGCCAGCAUCAACUGCCAGACAUGGAAUGAGGACAUCUUCAACAUCCAGCCCCAGUCAAGCUGUCAGAUGACUGCAGCCAUAUGAGUGAUCCCAGAACUUCUGAAGUGAUUCUGAUUUGCAUCAAAGUUUGAUAAACUUUGCUCUAAAGAGUUUUCUGAUGUCUAAGAGAAGGGGUUUGGAGACACUAUGGAAUGAUUUGAAGUCUGGAUCUUCUCAAUGAUGGAUCUUUGAGAUGAUCUCAAAGUCUGGAUCUUCUCAAUGAUGAUGAUGACUGUUGAUGACCUUGCCUGAAGCUGCGAAUAGGGAUUAAUGAUGAAGACAAAAGACGUUCUGUAGUUCUAGUUCCAAAGGGGCUGAGUUCAAGAUGGGUUUGCAACAUUGAACUUACAGUCAGAAAGAACACCCUUUAUAUCCUUGGUUUGCCACUGUCCUGCUGUGUUACUUAAGACAAGUUAGUUCACUUAACCUAUCUCAGCCUUCGUUUUCUUAUUUGUAACGUAAGUGUAUCAAUCAGCAUGGGCUGAUGCUGCGGUAACAAACAAGCCCCAAAUCUCAGUUGCUUAUCACAUCAAAGUUUUAUUUCUAAUUUAUUUUUCAUGUCCAUCCUGGGGCCACGAAAAGCUGCACUACAUGUUGUCUUUAUUCUAAGGACUCAGACUGACAAAAUAGUUGCCAUCAGAAAUGUUGCCAAUUUCUGUGGCAGUGGGACAGGGGGAGUGGGGGAAAAUGAAGGUACAUGGGCUCUUAGAGUUUCCACCUGGAGGUAACCACAUGAUCCUGCUCACAUUUCACUGGUCAGAGCAGGUCAUGUGGUCACCUCUAAGGAUGCAGGGAAGUGCAGUUUUACCAUGUGCCCAGAAAGCGGGGAGAACUGGAAAUAUUUGGUGGAUAGCACUCCUGGCUACCACAAUGAGCACUGUUAUAUCAACUUCCUUGUGGGGUUAUUGUAAGGAUUAAAGGAGAUAAUGGAUGAAGAAUCACUUUGCAAAUAAUAGAUAUUGCUCACAGUAAGAUAUUGCACACGUGACAUUUGGGGGGCAGUCAUGUGCCAAUCACUACGCCAGAUAUUCAUAACAGCAGUGCAUCCCCAGACAGAGUUCAGGAAGGGCAUAGCUUGCCUAGUUUUGCUCCCUCUUGGCACUGGAACCUUGACUGUAAUUGUCAGGUAGGGUCCACUAGCCCAGGUAUGUGCAGGUACCAAGAGUUCUUCUAUUGGAGACUUUUGAUGCUGCCCAAAGUAUUUCUUGGGAAGGGCUCACCCUUGUGACUGUUGACUACUGAUCUCCACAAGCAGAGAGAGCAUCAGUGGUCCUGAUGUCCGUCUGUCUCUGCACCUCCUUACUAAGGGGCAGGUAAGUCUUUUAGUUCAGUGGAUUUGAGACAGUUGUGGUCUGAUUUGGAUUUUAUUCCAAAUGCCCCUCUGCAUUCUUGUCCAUCAUAGUCUGCUCUGCGCUGAGAUGUCUGCUUCUUUCUUUGAGGCAUUUGGAGUGGGAAGUCUUUCUGAUCUGGAGAGGGUCUUGUGAUGUUACUAUUUCCUGUCCCUGUCAGAGGUUCUUCUGGCAGGAAAAAAAAAAGCCCUUUGGGAUCAGCAAUGUUUUGUUGGUGGCUCUUUUCCCAUGCUCUCUGACUAUUGGGAUUUGGGGUUUUAAGCAUCUCUCCUCUUUUCAUGGGAAGAAUUCCUGCUUGAAAUUCAAACAAAAAGAGAUGCCUAGGUCCUUAACAUCUGCGUGGGCCAAGAGACACACCCCUGGCAACAGUAGCUCAGAACUUAGUCACUCUGUGUGCAAUAUACUCUUGCAAAUGCAUUAUCUCAUACCAUUCUACGAAUAAUCCAGCAUGACAGGCAACAUUCUUAUCCCCAUUUUACAGAUAAGGAGAUUGAGGCUACUUGCCCAAGUCACACAAGCAGCAAGUGGCCUGGAUUUAAACUUCUAGAGGUCAGAAGUCCUCAACGGGUCUCACCAGGCUAAAAUCGAGGUGUUGGCAGGGCUGAUUUCCUUUAUGAAGACUCCAGAAGAGAAGCCGUUUCCUUGGCUUCUCCAUCUUUCCUUGUGUCCUGCCUUAUGGCCUCCUCCAUCUUCAAGGAGGAAAGCAUAGGCCUCGUCCCUCUGUGAGGACCACCAGGUGUGCUGUGGCAGAUGAAGCCUCACAGAGUUUCCAGCAUGUCUUGCUGCUGACAUUGGGCUCUCUAUCCUCACAUGCCAGAGCCCAGGACCGUCUCUGCUUGUAGACACGGAGCACAACCUGUCAGGAGGAGGAGACCAGCUUCAUCUAUCUCCCCCAGCCUGCUGUACUCAUUCCACGGAUCCUGGCUGGAGAGACGCUCCUGGACGUGUCAGAGCAGUUAUGAGGACACGUUUCUGAGAGGCUUGCAGCUUCCUAAUGUUCUUCCUGAGUUCGUGAGACUGUAAGCUCAGCCCGACUCCGUUGAAAGAUGGGCUAAUAAAAUGGCUUCUUAGACAAUGUGCCUAUUAGUAAUGCAACAGGAUGUUAAUCAGGAGAGGGGAGGGGGUGCUCACCACUCUCUUCCAGCUGAGGGAAAGGAACCUGUGGACUCCAGGACACGGGAUAGAAUGAGGUGACAGAGCUGUGCUGAGAGAUCACUGUGUCCUCCAGAAUUUGCGUGGCAUAGGGGCAGGGACCGACCCUUGCCUAAAAGCAUCUAAAGGCUGGAAGUAAAUAGAGCUGCCUGUCU